GAGCCCGUGUAGUCUGCAGGAAGGCAGCAGUGUGCCUACUGGGAGAGCAGGCCUCCGAGUUCCUGCUGAACCACUCAACAGCUUAAAAUACAACCAGCCCCUCUCCCUGCCGGCCAGCUGCCGGGGGAGGGCUGAAAUCCUACCCUCUCCCCCCAGCCCGGGCACUGGACCAGGACUCAGGAACAGAUGAUGGGCCAUCGGGGGCCCAGACUGACUGCUGGGAAAGGAAGCUGGGAGGCAGGAGGGGGCGGCCGGUACAGGGGCCACACUCCCAGCAGCCGCCACCGCAGCUGCUGCCGCUGCCGCAGCCAGGCCAGCCCACGGCGUGUGGAGAGGAGCAGCAGCACCCUCACAAGAGAAAUAUCGAAGUCACACUGCUCAUGCCAGGGCAUCUGAGAAGACCCUGGGUUCAGCUGCCAAGAAGCCAGCACAAGCCACACCUGCUCCGCCAGAAAUACCUCCUUCCCAGUGGCCUCAGCUCAUGACCCCGUUUCUCCGAGGUGCCUGGGGCAACUGCAUCAGCCUCCGUGAGCCCCAGAUCCCCAGAGGAUGGUCCAGAUCUACACCUCUGCAUCCCCUGGCAGGGUCAAGGAUGAUGACCACAUCUGGUCUCUCUGCAUCUCUGGGCUGGAAGGCGCUGUCAGGCCAGGAAGCUGGAAGAGGCGGAGAAGCUGAGCCCUGAGGACGCAGGCUGACUGCAGGCUGACCAGGGCAGCAGAAGGCCAACCCCGCACCUGGGCCCAGCACGUCCAGCCCAGGUGCAGCAAGCAGAUUCUGCCCCUUGAGCCUUCAUCAACUGUCAAAACUUCCCAAAACCCAGAGACCUGGCAUCAGGGAUAUGGUGAGAAGUCCCCAAAGUUCAUCUGCAGAGCCACCAGGUCUUACCAUUUUAUGGAGGACAUAUUAAGGAAUCAGAGAGUUAAAGCAAGUUGUACAAGAUCACACGGGGAGUAAGUAAGUAAACAGCAUUUCGGCUGAGGCUGACUGACUCCAGACUCACUUGUUUAGUAAUUCUAAACAGAACCGAUAGGAUAUAUGCGUUUGUGACUGCGCCUGUGUUAUGUGAUUUAAGGCAUUGGCUUCCAUGACUGUGGGAAAGCAAGUCUGAAAUCUGCAGGGCAGAUCAGCAGGCUAGAAACUCUUGGCCAGGAACUGAUGCUUUUGUCCUUAGGGAAACCUCAGUAUUUGCUUCUAAGCCCUUUCAGUAUUUGCUUUUAAAGUCUUUCAACUGGAGCUCCCAUGGUGGUGUAAAGGGACCAGCAGUGUUUUGAGAGCACUGGGACACAGGUUCAAUCCCCAGCCCAACACAGUGGGUUAAGGAUACAGUGUUGCCACAGCUAUGCUUAGGUCGUGACUGUGCCUCAGAUCUGAUCCAUGGCCUUGGAGCUCC